rnacentral:rRNA from 1 species
UGACCUCGGAUCAGGUAGGAAUACCCGUCCCUGAACUUAAGCAUAUCAAUAAGCGGAGGA